UCGGGAAUCUUGCACAAUGGGCGAAAGCCUGAUGCAGCAACGCCGUGUGGGCGAGGAAGGCCUUCGGGUCGUAAAGCCCUGUUGUUGGGGACGAAGGGCGAAGGGUUAAUAGCCCCUAGCCUGACGGUACCCUUCGAGGAAGCCCCGGCUAACUCCGUGCCAGCAGCCGCGGUAAGACGGAGGGGGCAAGCGUUGUCCGGACUCACUGGGCGUAAAGGGCGUGCAGGCGGCUCUGUGCGUCGGCGCUGAAAGCGCCCGGCUUAACCGGGCGAGGUGCGUCGAUACGAUAGAGCUUGAGGCAAGGAGAGGCUAGCGGAAUUCCGGGUGUAGUGGUGAAAUGCGUAGAGAUCCGGAGGAACGCCCGUGGCGUAAGCGGCUAGCUAGUCUUGACCUGACGCUGAGGCGCGAAAGCGUGGGGAGCGAACCGGAUUAGAUACCCGCGUAGUCC
rnacentral:rRNA from 1 species